CAGCCGCCGCGGUAAUACGUAGGGUGCAAGCGUUGUACGGAAUUAUUGGGCGUAAAGAGCUCGUAGGCGGUUUGUCGCGUCUGCUGUGAAAACGCGAGGCUCAACCUCGCGCCUGCAGUGGGUACGGGCAGACUAGAGUGUGGUAGGGGAGAUUGGAAUUCCUGGUGUAGCGGUGGAAUGCGCAGAUAUCAGGAGGAACACCGAUGGCGAAGGCAGAUCUCUGGGCCAUUACUGACGCUGAGGAGCGAAAGCGUGGGGAGCAAACAGGAUUAGAUACCCCCGUAGUCCCUGUCUCUUAUAC
rnacentral:rRNA from 1 species